GUGAAAGUACUCCCCAGCGCUUUUAUUUCUUUAUUUAGACUUAUUCUGUUUAAAAAUGGACAAAAUGCAUGAGAAGGAUGCUGCUGAUGUCGUGCUGCAUGAGAGUGCAGAGGUCUGGUAUGCUGCCUGGGAAGAAACCAAAAAUCAGAAUUUGGGGGAAAGUAAUAAGUUAAGGACAGGAGGGAAAUCAAAAUUGGAGUUUUAAAACUAUUGAAUGCUACAGUAGAUCGUAGAAUUUGAAAAAGUUAAAUGCAUAUGGUUCCGCAGGAAAUAUGCUCCCUACCUUCCGUUCUCUUUCAUCUAGGUGCUCUUUAAAUUACAACAGCACGAAUGAACUCAAAUCUUCAGGAAUACAGGAGCAAUUCUGUGAAUACUUUGGAUGAUUCCAGGCUUAACUUCCAUAAAACAGCUUCAAGAUUUGCGACCUUCAGUACCUAUCCUGUGUCUUUUAAGAAUUUCCUCAGCCAGGGAACAGAUUCGUUCGUUUAAGAGUAACUGUAAAGAAUCUGCAAGAGCUUCCAUCAUCCGUCACUAAAAGAAUUAAACCUCGCUGCACUCCAGCUAGCUAGGUAAGUUGCAUUAGCCCUACAGAUCAGAGUAGCUGUGAUGUAGGAAGGUGGGGUGGGCAUUUCCUAAGACCUGCCACUGACAGACCUGUCAUUGGCUCAUCUUGGAAUAGAUGCCAGGUCUCUCACUUCCCAUUCCCUGACUUAUCGUCAACACAGUGCAUCUAUUUGAUUACAUAAUGGGGGAAUUACUUUUCUGAAAUGUUGCGUUUCAUCUCGUAUUUAUGUGGCGGAGCUGGGUGCAGAAACAAUUACUUGCAACUUGCCUACUAAACUAUAUCAGAAUUUCCUUAUAUGAAACCUCUUCAGUUUCUAUGAAUGCAUGCUUUGUGUGCCCAAGAGCAACUGAUCUUUAAGAUAUCUAUGUGAAUACAUUUUAAUAUGAUUUUACAAUGUUAAGCUAUCAGUCACAAUCUGUCAUUUCUGAAAUCUGAUACUAAUAGAAUUUAGUAUUUAUCGUUUUACAUUGGAAUAAGCAUAGGCAUAAAACAAUAUAAAACAAAACAAUGAAAAAAUC
rnacentral:lncRNA from 1 species